UACUAGAGUAGCACUCGCAUAUCAAUAAGCGGAGGAAAAGAAACUAACAAGGAUUCCCCUAGUAACGGCGAGUGAAGCGGGAAGAGCUCAAAUUUGAAAUCUUAAAGGGUUUCCCUUUACGAAUUGUAGUUUAAAGAAGUGUUUUCUGUUGAGGUUUUGGUAAAAGUUCUUUGGAAUAGGACAUCAUAGAGGGUGAGAAUCCCGUAUUUGACCUUUACUUUCAACUUUGUGAUACACUUUCAAAGAGUCGGAUUGUUUGGGAAUGCAGUCCAAAAUGGGUGGUAAAUUUCAUCUAAAGCUAAAUAUUGGCGAGAGACCGAUAGCGAACAAGUACCGUGAGGGAAAGAUGAAAAGAACUUUGAAAAGAGAGUUAAACAGUACGUGAAAUUGUCAAAAGGGAAGCGUUUGACACCAGUGUUGUUUUUCUGAAAAUCAAUUAAAGAACUGUUUAUGCUAAGUUGUUUAGACUUUAUCAGCUAAUCUGCUUAGUUUUGAGCUUUUCUUUAAUGCACUUUUCAGUUAACAAGUCAACAUCAAUUUCUUUUGCUGUAAAAAAGCUUGAGGAAGGUGGCUUGAGAUUCGUCUUAAGUGUUUAUAGCCUCUUGCCUAUGCAGUCGGAGAGAUUGAGGUCUGCAGCGUAGAUCCUUCGGGGCUAAAUGCAUUUGUGCUAAGUUAUAGCAUUUUAUAGACAACUUGUUGACUAUGAUUUGUCUUGUAGCUUACUCGCUUAUGUUAUUUUACCUACGCUUAGGAUGUUGAACUCUAUCACACACA
rnacentral:rRNA from 1 species